rnacentral:lncRNA from 1 species
GUUAACCACUGCGCCACGACAGGAACUCCUGUUUUUAUUUAAUUAAUUUCAAAUUAGGUCUACUGACUCCUUGCUAUGAAACAGAAGGAUUUAGUUCACAAAUACUGUCUUCAAUCUGCUUUCUUCUGUCCUCAGUCCACUGGCAAUCAAUCCUUCUUUUUUUUUUUUUUUAUUUGGCUGUGACAGUGGCAUGCAAAAAUUCCCAGGUCAGGGAUCGAACUUGUCCCACAGCAUCGACAACUCUGGAUCCCUAACCUACACCACCAGGGAUCUCCACAAUCCAUCACAUUUAAGCACCUGAGAAGACACAAUUUGUUUUAUUCAGUUUUAAUGAAUUUAGUUUGCUAGAUGUGGCUAGUGGCUCUCAUAUUAGAUGAGCAGCUCUUAAUUAUUCCUACCUUUAGGAAUGCACAAGUUUUUUUUAUGAUCUAGUAUUACAACCAAUUUUUGUAUAUGUUCAAUAAGUUCUUGGAAGAAAGUUGUUAGAAGAAAGGCAGAGGCUAUUUUCAAGGAAGGGUUCAUUUUAUCCACCAAAUUUUGCUUAUUAAUUUGGGUAUUUACCCGUUCUACAGCUUUAAUUUUUUGUCCAUUUGAUACCCCAUGAUCUAAGAGCCCAAGUCAAGUCUACCAGUAAAGUUUUUCUCAAUAACUUUCCAGAAUCAUUUUUACUUUUUGAAUAUUAAUGCUCUACUACUUUUCACAUAUAUUUGAAAUUUCUUCUCUGUAAAUUAUAAACUUUACAAUCAAAAUACCCAUCUUUGUGUCAUUUAAUUCCACCUUGCCUUUUUAUUUUAUAGAUAGUUCUGUUAUUUUAAUAAUUUUUUAUUAAAAUAAUAUUUUCAUAAUAAUAUCCUAUGUAAUGAGGUUAGUCUUCCAUUUCUUCAUGUCACCUAUUAGUUCUCUACUAUAAGUUAUGCUAAGGUAAGCAUUCUCAUCACCAGAUUUCAACCAAAUACAUGAUCUUUUUUAUUGUUUACCUUUGAGCUGUUAGAUAUACUUCCAUUAUUACAUUUGCUGAUUUUAUUAAUACUACUGACUCUUAGUUACUACGACUCCUAGGAGGCAACUGGCAUACUUAGCACACUUACUCAAGCUCCCGUUUUCUUUCCCUUGUUUCCAUCUUAAAUUCUCAGUUGUCUCCUUAUUAGGGUACACAGCAGACUACGGCAUGCUCAAAUAUCAAGUUCUCACUGAAGACCUCUCUGUGCACGCAAUUCAAAACUGUAAAUCCCAAAGCCCAGACUCUAACCACUGCCACCCUGAUUUCUUUUCCUCCACAGUACUAAUGACCACCUAAUACACAUUCAACUCAAGAAUUUCUCAUCUGGUUUCUCCCAGUGAAUGGAAGCUCCCCAAGGGCAGGCCUUCUUUGCCUGCUUUGUUCACUUCUGAAACCCCAGCAACUAGAACAGCAUCUGGUACGCAGUGCAUGCUCACUAGGUACUUGCUGAAGGAAUAGGAUAGAGGCCACUACUAAAAGUGUAUUCAAAACCUAUAAAAGCAUCACUGAGAGAAAUGAGAGGCCUAAAUGAAUAUAAGAGUAUAUUAUGUGUAUGGAUCAAACGACCUGGUAAUGUUAAAAUGUCAAUUCUCCUUAAAAUGAUCUAUAGCUCCAAUAUGACCAAUCACAAUCCCAGCAGCCAUUUUAUACAAAAUGACAAGCUGAUUUUGAAAUUCAUAUGAAAUAAAAGGAAACUUAAAAAUUCAAAACAAUUUUGAUAAAGCAGAAAACUGGAAGACUUCCAAAACCAGACUUAAAGCUACAGCAAUCAAGACUUUAAGGUACUAAUAUAAAGACAGACGUACAGUUCACUAGAUAAAAUACAAAGUUCAAAAAAGGACCCACACAUGUAUGAUUUUUUUGUCAAAAGUGACAAGGUAAUUCAGUGGAGAAAGAAUAAUCUCUAAACAAAUGGUGCUAGAACAACUGUAUAUACAUAUAUGAAAAAAAAAUUUUUUAAGAAGCUCAACCCUUUCUUCAUACCACAUAUAAAAAUCAACUGAAAUGAAUCAUGAAUUUAAAUAUAAAAGCUACAAAUAUAAAACUUCUAUAAGAAAACAUGAAAGAAAAUCUUCAAAGGAGACAAACAGGAGUUCCGCCAUGGCUCAGUGGUAACAAACCCAACUAGUGUCCACGAAGAGCGGGUUUGAUCCCUGACCUCACAAAAGAAAAUAUUUGGAUGAGCAAUAAGCACACGUAAAUAACCUUAGUAUCAUCAGUCAUUAAGAAAAUUCAAAUUAAAGCCACAAUGAUAUAAUAUUACAUACCCACUAGACUGGCAGAAAUUCAAAACAAUGACAGUACCAAGUGUUAGCAAAUGAAAAUCUCAUUCAUUGCUGAAGGAAAUGUAAAGUGGUAAAACCACUUUAGAAAACAGUUCAUUAGAGUCUUAUAAAGUUAAACAUAUGAAUACCAUACAAUCCAACAAUUCCAUUCCUGCAUGUUUUCCCAAGUGAAGUGAAAACAUAUGUCUAAAAAUGUUUAGCAGCUUCGUUUACAAUAGCCGAAAACCAGAAGCAAUUAAAAAGUCCAACAACUAAUAGUUAUAAACAAAUUAUGCCAUAUUUCAUACAACAUAAAAGUAUUCAGCAAUAAAAAAGAAGCUACAGACAUAGAUGAAAAUCAAAAGCAUUAUACUAAGUGCAAACUAGACCUAGAAGACAAUAUACUGUAGUAUCUCCCUUAUACUAUAUUGUAUAAAAGGUAAAAUUCUAUUAACAAAAAUUAGAUUGGUAGUUGCCAGGGAGAGAGAAGUUUUCAAAGUGAUAGGAUUUUUUGUAUCUUUAUUGUAGUAGCGGUUACAAGAAUGCAUAUGUUUAUGAAAAUUCAACAUGCAUACUUUUACAUUAGAGGAAUUUUAACAUAUAUUAUACCUCAGUAUACUAGGUAUACUUUUACAUUAGAUGAAUUUUAACAUAUAUUAUACCUCAGUAUACUAGGUUUUAAAAAGUAUACUAGGUCUAAAACUAAAACCCAACUACCUAAAACCUUAAAGAAGAAUAAUUAAUACAAAGUAGCCCAGGAAAAGUGAGUAUUCUGUCAAAUUUUAAAAGCCCGUACAGAGUUGUCCACAUCCAGGCAGAAUGCAAUAGUCUGCAGCAGGCCAAUAUUCUUCUUGAAAACAGAAAAGCAAAAUAAAUUACAAAAGUCAUAUUUUUUCUUGGCCAUACCCACAGUACGUGGAAAUUCCAAAGCCAGGGAUCAAACCCAAGCCAUAACAGUGACAAUGCCAGAUCCUUAACCUGUAGCACCACAAGAGAACUCCACCAAUAUCCUAUUUCUAAAGGCAGCAGAAAGAUGUCAUGGUGCAAGAAGGUCUAAAACUCCAAAGAAGUGGGGAACAUUUUAAAGGUGUUUGGAUGACCUGCACUUAUCUUUUCCCUGAGGGUAUUUCCAAAUUAUGGGCCCAUGGUGAAAGCUGAAAACUAUCUGGCCUGUAGUACAAAACAUUGCUGCUACGGAACCAAAAAGCCAGGAGAGCUUUGGUGUCCACUAAGGCUGGAGUGACAAAAAUGGGAAACUGCAGGGACCUCAAGUUCAAGGCUACUACCUCUCGUGGGACAAUUACUUAAUUUUAAAACCGUGUAAGAUAGGAGGCAAAGUGAAAUUUCCCACUUUUGGCAUUGCUAAGAGGAUAAAGACCACUAAGCUUUGAAAUGAAAGUCCUAGAAAACCACACUCUUCAAAUACCAUAAAGAAGAAUACCACUAAACUACUCAAACAGCAACCCAGCCUCCAUGUAAAUUAAGGUGACUAGCUCCCUAUUCUAUCUGCCUAUAAGAAAAGAUAUACAACCUCAGGCAGAACAGAGUUGGUAAUGUUUGCUUCAUUUUGUUUUUCUAAAUCACAAUAUCUGGCAUUCAAUCAAAAAUUAGAAGACAUAAACAAAAACAAUCACCAGCUUGACCCGAUUAACAUUUAUAGAGCACUCCACCCAACAACAAAAUACACAUUCUUUUUAAGUGCACAUGGAGCAUUUACCAAGAUUGAUCCUACCUAGGUAAGACUGAUCUUACCUAGCCCAUAAUACAAAUCUCAAUCAAUUUAAAAGGCUCCAAGCCAUAAAAGUAUGUUCUUUCAUCACAACAGAAUUAACUUAAAAAUAAUAAAUCUCUGGAAAAUCCUCAAAUAUGUGGAAAUUAAAUGAUAUAAAUAAUUUAUAGACCAAAGAAGACACAAAAAGUAAAUUAAAAAGUAUUUUAAACUGAAAAUAUUUAUAUAUUAAAAUUUAUAAGGCAUAUUUAGAGGAAAACUUAUGUAGUACACAUACAAGAAGGGGAAAUGUCACAAAUUAAUGACACCAGCUUUUAUCUUAAUAAACUAGAAAAACAAACUAAACCCAAAGUAAGUUAAAGGAUUAAUAAAGAUCAGAGCAGAAAUAAGGAAAUAAAAAACAGAACCAGAGGAAAUCAGUUAAACCAAAAGAUGAUUCUUUGAGAGUCUUCAUUAAGAAAUCUCAAGCCAGACUAAUCAGGUAAAAAGAGAAAUGACACAAAUUACCAAUAUUAGGAAUGAUACGAAAUCUCUGCAGAUUAUACAGAUAUUAUACUCAAAAUAUAGUCUAUAGCUAUUUAAAAGAUAGUAAGAGAACAUUUAUAAAGAACUUUACUAAUUCAACAACUUAGAUGAAAUGGACAAGUUCCUUGAAAAAUCCAGCAAACAUGUUCAGUGACAGAACCACACAACCACAUGACCAAAAAACCAAUAGAAAAAAAUAAUAAAAGUAGACUAACAGAUGGUGCAGAUAUUGAAAUCAACAUUUAAAUAACUGUAAUCAAUAUGUUAAAGAAAAUUGGAAUUUAUUAAAAAUCUAUAAAGUAGGAUCAAAUGGAUGUGCUAGAAUUUAAAGUUACAAUGUAAAAUUAAGAACACAAUAGACUGGGAGUUCCACCAUGGGGCUAGUGAUUAAGACUCAGUGCUAUCACCACUGUGGUCAGGAUUCAUUCCCUGGUCUGGAAACUGAGAUCCCACAUCAAGCCACUGUAUGCCAUGGCAAAAAAAAAAAAAAAAAAAAAAAGAAGAAAGAAAGAAAGAAAAAGGAGAAAAAGCAAAUACAAUAGACACAAUAGAUUGACCUAGAGAAAAAGAUGAUAGUUUUGGUAUACUAUAAGAUGGGUAUAGGAAGAGAAACCCAAACUGAAGUAUAGACAGAAAAAAAAAAAAAAAAUGUAAGAGACCUGUGAAACAUAUGACAGGGUAUAAUAAAUGUUUCAAUUAGAAUCCUAAAAGAAGAGAGGGACAGAAGCAACAAUUGAAGAUGUAAUGACAGAGAACUUUCCAAAACUAGGGCUCCACGCUGUAGAUUCAAAAGCUCUAUGAACGUAAGGAAAAAUAAAGAAUAUCACACCUCACCACACCACAGUCAAACUGCUAAGAAACUAAGACAGGAGAGAAAGCCUUUGAGAAAAAUAAAAGACAUUAUCAAGACUAUAAGCUGUUACAUUACUUUAAAUAAGACUUUAACAGAAAGCCAGCAGACAAUGAAAUAGCUAGAGAUAGAAUUCCACAUGCAGUGAAAAUAUUAUUCAAAAAAGUUGAAAUUAAGGUAUUUUCAGAUGAACAAAAAUGGAAAAAUUCACUGUCAAUAGGUAGGCCAGUAUUAAAACACAUAUUACCAAAGGAAGCUACUCAGACAGAAGGAAAAUGAUUUGACAGAAACACAGAAAGGGGAGGAAGAACCCAGGAAAAGGUAAGUACUAACAAAAACUGAUUUUCCAAAACCAUACUAAUAAUGUCUUCUGGAGUUUAAAAUAUGUAUAAAUAAAAUGUAGGAUGUUAAUAACACAAAAAGAUUAUUGUAACAAGAGUUAAUGUGUAAGAAACUGUCAUUAAUGGGGAGUGGUAAAAUAAUUAUUUUGUAUUAUUUUUAUCAUAAGUAAUUUGUAUGCUUACUAUUACCUAUAGAAUGACCACAUAAGUAUAAAGAAAGAAUAUUUAACAAAUAGUAGGAAAAACAGAAAAAUAAUUAGAUUAAAACCAUACACAACAGGAGGGACAAAAAGGAAUGCAAAAGAGAUGACUCUAAGAGAAGUCAAAGCUGAUGGUGGUUACAAACUCAACUAUUAUCAGCAAAUAUGUUAAUGAACUGCAUAAAAACCAGUGUGAACUGCACAAGUCCACCUGUAUGUAGAUUUUGUCCAACAGUAAAUACUACAGUAAUACACAAUCUGGUGCUGACAAAACCUGAGGAACCUCAUAUACAGGAUCCGUGGAACACUAACUCUAAGCUAUACACAGAUUUUUCACUUUUUUAACUGAGUAGAGGUCAAUGCCCCUAACUGCCAUGUUGCUCAGGGAUCAACUGAAAACGUCAAAGUAAAAGACUAAGACUAGUUGAAAAUAAAGAAAAUCUGAAUUCACAAACAGAUAUCCAGAAAACAUGAUGAGAGGGGAAAAAAGUAGUUGAUAAAACUGCGUAUAAAACUGCAUAUAUUCCAUUUGCUAUAAAACUAUAACAUGUACACGUACAUAAACACACAGCCCAAAUACCUUAGAAAAUGCUGAAAAAAUAUAUUAUCCUUGAGAUAUUGGGCAAUUUUUUCAUCAUAGAUUUCCUUUGUAGUUUUUGGUACUUUAACUCUUUUCCAAGAAGCAAGACUCAUUUUUAUAAAAGCCACAAAACUAUUUUCAAAAGAAAAAAAAAAAUCAAAUCACAAAUUUUAAUAAUGAUCAGCCCUAACAAAGUAAAAGACUUUAAGAAAAAUAUAAGAAUGUUGGAGUUCCCGUCGUGGCGCAAAAAGGAGAAAACGCAAUGUCCACUUGUAUGAUGC